rnacentral:rRNA from 1 species
CCUACGGGAGGCAGCAGUAGGGAAUCUUGCGCAAUGGGGGAAACCCUGACGCAGCAACGCCGCGUGAUCGAUGAAGCCCUUCGGGGUGUAAAGAUCUGUCAGUGGGGACGAAACCUGACGGUACCCACAGAGGAAGCACCGGCUAACUCCGUGCCAGCAGCCGCGGUAAUACGGGGGGUGCAAGCGUUGUCCGGAGUCAUUGGGCGUAAAGAGUUCGUAGGUGGGACGUUAAGUCUGGUGUUAAAGGCGGAGGCUCAACUGCCGUAGUGCAUUGGAUACUGGCGGUCUUGAGUGCGGUAGAGGUGAGGGGAAUUCGUGGUGUAGCGGUGAAAUGCGUAGAUAUCAGGAGGAACAUCGGUGGCGUAAGCGCUUUACUGGGCCGUAAUUGACACUGAGGAACGAAAGCCGGGGUAGCAAAUGGGAUUAGAUACCCGAGUAGUC